rnacentral:sRNA from 1 species
GAGGAGCGGGCCGCGGCGCUGAGGCGGCGGAGCGUGGCCCCGCCAUGGGCUUCCUGCACCAGCUGCAGCUGCUGCUCUGGAAGAACGUGACGCUCAAACGCCGGAGCCCGUGGGUCCUGGCCUUCGAGAUCUUCAUCCCCCUGGUGCUGUUCUUUAUCCUGCUGGGGCUGCGGCAGAAGAAGCCCACCAUCUCCGUGAAGGAAGUCUCCUUCUACACAGCGGCGCCCCUGACGUCUGCCGGCAUCCUGCCUGUCAUGCAAUCGCUGUGCCCGGACGGCCAGCGGGACGAGUUCGGCUUCCUGCAGUACGCCAACUCCACGUGAGUGCCCACCCGCCCCUCGGAGCACCCACCCCUCCCCAGCCCAUCCAGUGAGUGACAUCCGCCAUGGUGCAGGGUCACGCAGCUGCUUGAGCGCCUGGACCGCGUGGUAGAGGAAGGCAACCUGUUCGACCCAGCGCGGCCCAGCCUGGGCUCAGAGCUCGAGGCCCUGCGCCAGCAUCUGGAGGCCCUCAGUGCGGGCCCGGGCACCUCGGGGAGCCACCUGGACAGAUCCACAGUGUCUUCCUUCUCUCUGGACUCGGUGGCCAGAAACCCGCAGGAGCUCUGGCGUUUCCUGACGCAAAACUUGUCGCUGCCCAAUAGCACGGCCCAAGCCCUCUUGGCCGCCCGUGUGGACCUGCCCGAGGUCUACCACCUGCUCUUUGGUCCCUCAUCUGCCCUGGAUUCACAGUCUGGCCUCCACAAGGGUCAGGAGCCCUGGAGCCGCCUAGGGGGCAAUCCCCUGUUCCGAAUGGAGGAGCUGCUGCUGGCUCCUGCCCUCCUGGAGCAGCUCACCUGCACGCCGGGCUCGGGGGAGCUGGGCCGGAUCCUCACUGUGCCUGAGAGUCAGAAGGGAGCCCUGCAGGGCUACCAGGAUGCUGUCUGCAGUGGGCAGGCUGCUGCGCGUGCCAGGCGCUUCUCUGGGCUGUCUGCUGAGCUCCGGAACCAGCUGGACAUGGCCAAGGUCUCCCAGCAGCUGGGCCUGGAUGCCCCCAACGGCUCGGACUCCUCGCCACAGGCGCCACCCCCACGGAGGCUGCAGGCGCUUCUGGGGGACCUGCUGGAUGCCCAGAAGGUUCUGCAGGAUGUGGAUGUCCUGUCGGCCCUGGCCCUGCUACUGCCCCAGGGUGCCUGCACUGGCCGGACCCCCGGACCCCCAGCCAGCGGUGCGGGUGGGGCGGCCAAUGGCACUGGGGCAGGGGCAGUCAUGGGCCCCAACGCCACCGCUGAGGAGGGCGCACCCUCUGCUGCAGCACUGGCCUCCCCGGACACGCUGCAGGGCCAGUGCUCAGCCUUCGUACAGCUCUGGGCCGGCCUGCAGCCCAUCUUGUGUGGCAACAACCGCACCAUUGAACCCGAGGCGCUGCGGCGGGGCAACAUGAGCUCCCUGGGCUUCACGAGCAAGGAGCAGCGGAACCUGGGCCUCCUCGUGCACCUCAUGACCAGCAACCCCAAAAUUCUGUACGCGCCUGCGGGCUCUGAGGUCGACCGCGUCAUCCUCAAGGUGCACGGGUCUGGGACGCUCCAUGUUUGACAGGCAGAGUGGGAGGGGGUCUCUGCAGGCCUGGGACCCCUGGGCAGAGGGUGUCGGCAGAAUUGACACGGGAGGGGUACGGGGUGCAGCUUCGGAUGGGACACAGGCUCUGCAGGUGGGGGA